rnacentral:rRNA from 1 species
UGGGGAAUAUUGCACAAUGGGCGCAAGCCUGAUGCAGCCAUGCCGCGUGUGUGAAGAAGGCCUUCGGGUUGUAAAGCACUUUCAGCGGGGAGGAAGGCGUUAAGGUUAAUAACCUUGUCGAUUGACGUUACCCGCAGAAGAAGCACCGGCUAACUCCGUGCCAGCAGCCGCGGUAAUACGGAGGGUGCAAGCGUUAAUCGGAAUUACUGGGCGUAAAGCGCACGCAGGCGGUUGAUUGAGUCAGAUGUGAAAUCCCCGGGCUUAACCCGGGAAUUGCAUCUGAUACUGGUCAGCUAGAGUCUUGUAGAGGGGGGUAGAAUUCCAUGUGUAGCGGUGAAAUGCGUAGAGAUGUGGAGGAAUACCGGUGGCGAAGGCGGCCCCCUGGACAAAGACUGACGCUCAGGUGCGAAAGCGUGGGGAGCAAACAGG